GAAAUGUGUUAUACAAGUAAAAGCUGCUAACUUAUUACUUUAACAGUUAAAUCCUGUUUACAUUUCU
rnacentral:tRNA from 1 species